GGGAAUGUGGCUUAGUGGUAAAGUGCUUGCCUAGCAUACAUGAAGCCCUGGGUUCAAUUCCUCAGUACCA
rnacentral:tRNA from 1 species